AAUUCACCCUAUUGUGUUUGCCUCUUUCUUCUUCCUUAGAUUCAAGAGCUAGGUUUCAGGAAAGACAACCAUUGGCGAACUCAUGGACGAACUCACCACCACCGGCGAAUUGCACUACCACCGGAGAACUACCGUACCAUCGGCGACCUCACCAUCGUUGCUAGCGAACUACAAAUUUAGGUUACUUCAAUAGAAAAGGCUGAAUAUGAGAAAAUCUUAAAAGGCGCUGACAACAGAAGAUAGUACCAAUCUGUCUCGUUCGGCAAAAGGCUACAAUCAUAAGUUUGCUGGUAUUGCUAGUUUCUUGAAUCCAAUCAUCCAUUUUACCUAUCAAGGUGUGAUUUCUUUAACUAGCUUAGGUGAGCAAAAUCUUCUGACCUUCGUUCUCCUCUUUCAUUCUAAUUUACUAUAAUUUUAUUUCAAGAGCGUAGAAUGGCUGACCGGUUUAGAUUGCAUGUUAAGGGAGGUGACAGUGGAAGUGGGAAUGGAAGUUUGUGACGUAGUUGAACUGAUCGGUAUGGCAAGCCUGAUGGUGGGUUUGACUCUAACUUGAUUUCAGAAUGAUUAGUGAUUUCACUUUUAAUGGUGAUCACCUUCUAAUAGGAAUCAUAGUUUUACCGAUAACACAAUCUAUAUUCCCCUUAUUUUACAGGUGAAAAGGCGGUGAUGUGAUUAACAUCGUAUUCUAUGUAUCUG